rnacentral:tRNA from 1 species
GUUGGGAUUGUGGCUCAGCGGUAGAGUGCUUGCCUAGCACGUGCGAGGCCCUGGGUUCAAUCCUCAGCCCUACA